rnacentral:rRNA from 1 species
UACAGAGGUGGCAAGCGUUGUUCGGAAUUACUGGGCGUAAAGGGCGCGUAGGCGGCCGCCUAAGUCAGACGUGAAAUCCCCAAGCUUAACUUGGGAACUGCGUCUGAUACUGGAGGGCUUGAGUAUGGGAGAGGGAUGUAGAAUUCCAGGUGUAGCGGUGAAAUGCGUAGAUAUCUGGAGGAAUACCGGUGGCGAAGGCGGCCCGCUGGGCAGGAAGGAAGCGUAAGCUUCCGGCUGACGCUGAGGCGCGACAGCGUGGGGAGCAAACAGG